UGGGGAAACUGUUCCCCUCAGGCCUCAGGCUAGUCAGCGCUCAUGGAAUCUUAUUUUGCAAGGGCCUCAGCUGAAUCCCACAUUCUCAGUCCAAACCAGGACACUUUAGAAUACCCUGUAAAUAACUUCUGGAUUAAGUCACAGCGAGCCUAUUAUCCCACAGCCCUGUGCUGCUGCCAGCCCAUCACUUCGUACCACGCCUCACUGCCGCUGUGACCUGCCCAGUGUUUUCUAGCAGGGAUACGGCUAUGGGCAGUCAAGAAAGGCGCUGUGGGUCUCCAGGAUGAAGCUGCAGUGCUGGAGUUUACCCACAGCCAGGGCCAAGCAGCAGAAACAACCAGGGUGUGGCAACUAAGGGACUGGAAUACACAUUUGCUUGGAGUCUAAUAGAAUUGGCUUCAUAGGAAAACCUCGCCCCUUCCAGCUCCUCCUCCUUUGAAGCAAUCUGAGCCUCAAGUUCCUGUAAAUAAAUAAGAUCUGCCUGGCAGCAUUGUUAUGAGGACUAACAGAUAAGGUGAGUAAUGUAAAACAGUUAGCAGAGGGUCUGCCAUGUAGCUCAAGAAAUCAAAGUUAUUAUGAUGAUGUUUGCUCUGUAAAUUAUCCAUUUUCUUCUAAAAUCUUCCUCUGAGUUAUAUCAUGUAGAAAUCAUCACCUGUAUUUGGCAGGUGAGGAAACUAGGGCUUCAGCAAAUUCAUACUGCAGAUCCAGAUUCACAAAGCUGCUUGGUGUCAGACUAUCACACCACAUCUCCUACCCUGAGUCACUGUAUGGCAUCCAUUUGGAACUCCCAUGCCCUUAUCUUGCUGUUGAAUCUAGACAGGUGUCCCUGACUCCCAACAUCCUCACGAAAGAGAAGAGCUGCUAAGCCUUGCCCAGCUUGGAAACUCUUCAAAACCCUGUCACUACUGGAAUUUUUUUUUUUUUUUUUUUUUUUUUUUUUUUUUUUGAGAUUGAGUCUCAUUCUGUCACCCAAAAAGGCUGGAGGGCAGUGGCACCAUCUCGGCUCACUGCAACCUCCACCUCUUGGGUUCAAGCGAUUCUCCUGCCUCAGCCUCCCAAGAUGCUGGGAUUAUAGGCAUUCACCACCCCAUGCCUGGCUAAUUUUUGUAUUUUUAGUAGAGAUGGGGUUUUGCUACGUUGGGCAGGCUGAUCUCGAACUCCUGAUCUCAAGUGAUCCACCCACCUCAGCCUCCCAAAGUGCUGAGAUUACAGGCAGGAGCCACUGUGCCCAGCACUACUGGAACAUUCUUCCAGAGACUCAUCUUCAUGGUCUCUGUUGUUUUAAUCUAAUCACCUAGAAGCAAACCUGAGGAAGUGUAAGUUAUUAAGUCACUUACCUGAGUAAGUUUAAGUUGCAACCACGUUGGUCCCAUGAUAAAGAACAAGUUACAUGUGUGGGGUCCAUCUGCAAAAUUAGACCUGUCCAAAGGAGAGUUCAGAGGCCCCGAAGUAGCUUCUGAGCUCUCCCCUCAGCCUCUACUUCCUACCAAAUGCUGCUUUCACACCUCAUGUAAAGCAUGUAAAUCCAUCAUAGGCCCUCUCCCAAAUAGCAUCUCAAUUCCUAUCCUAGUUUUAUAUGAAAGAGAAAAGAGACUUCUAUCCUGGUUAGAAGAGUCCGUGCAUCCUUGAGCCAGGGAGGUAGUACUUCCAUGGGCUCCUCCUCACAACUUACCACUUAAGUGGUGAUGUUCCCUGACGAUCUAUAAUCCUUCUCCAGUUUGGAGAGUUAGCCCUAGGUUUAAAAUUUGGAACAAGGCUGUUGACGAUGCUACACAUAUAUGCCUUCAUCCCAAAGCAGUGGACCAUGUAUAACUAGAGUUAACAUCACAGAGAACUAGCCUAUGAUAUGUAAGUCAUGCUACCCGUAUCACACAGAGCUUUCUUUUCAAACACCAAUGAAAACGAAAAUCAUUUGGGAUCCCAUAUAAGCUGUCUUUGCCUGGAGCUGUCAAGCAAUGACUUCAGCAAAAUUAACUGGUUCACUUAAAUAACAACAACAAAAAGCAGCACAUAAUAUAACACCUAAUUCCCCCCAGCCUCCAAACUUGGAGGCUGAAUUAUUAAAGCAAAACAAAAUAAAACAAAACCUUUAUUAUCCUGAAACUCUAUGUCCUUACCCUAAGUUAAGGAUCAAUGCACAUUUUUUGUAAGGAUCAGAGAGUAAAUAGUUGAAUCUUUGAAGGUCAUAGUACCUCUGUCACAACAACUCAACUCUGCCACUAUAAGAAAAAGCAGUCAGAGUCAAAACAUAAACAAAUGAACUUGGCUGUGUUCCAAUAAAACUUUAUUUAUAAACACUGAAAUUUAAAUUUCAUAUGCCUCACAUAUUACAAAAUAUUAUUAUUCUUUUGAUGUUUUCCCAACCUUUUAAAAAUGUAAAAAACAUUAUUUGCUCAGGGGCAAUACAAAAACAGGCAGGAGGCUGGAUUUGGCCCACAGGCUACAGUUUGCCAACCCCAGCUCAAAGUCAGCACAUAUAUUCAGAUGACUCCCUAGUAGGAAUCACUAGCAGCUCAAAGUCAGCACAUAUAUUCAGGUGACUCCCUAGUAGGAAUCACUAGCAGCUCAAAGAUCAGCUUAACAGGGCUUCCUUUCUAGCUCCUAGUGUAGGACCUGCUUCCCAGAGGCCACUCCAUGUCCACUGCUUCAAAGAGUGGUACAACUUAUAAAAAUAGAUCCAGAAGGUGAUUUCAGGAUUAGAUGCUGGUGUGUUGCUUACGAAAUCUCAUCCUCAUCCAUUCUGAGCCAAAUUACUGAUCACAUAUUUCUCAUUCAUACAAAUAAGUAAAUUCUGCAAGUUUAUGCCACUAAACUUUUCCACACACAUAGUAGGCAAGGUUUCUACAUCUCACCCUCAGCUUUAGCCUUUGCUUACUCUCUGGUUGCAAAACAGCAGGAAUUAAGGGUAAUAAAGUUAACAUUCUCAUCCCAUAGAGAUCAGAGGAUGUUCCUGUCAUCUAUCAAGUAAUUGA
rnacentral:lncRNA from 10 species